ensembl:lncRNA
AAUCACGGGAUCAGAGAACGGCAGAAUGGCGGGAUCAUGGAGUGACACAGGAUCACAUGGAAUCACAUGGAAUCAUGGGAUCAGGGAAUGGCAGAAUGGCGGGAUCAUGGAGUGACACGGGAUCACAUGGAAUCACAUGGAAUCACAUGGAAUCACAUGGAAUCACGGGAUCAGGGAAUGGCAGAAUGGCGGGAUCACAGAGUGACACAGGAUCACAUGGAAUCAUGGAAUCAUGGAAUCAGGGAAUGGCAGAAUGGCGGGAUGAUGGAGUGACACAGGAUCACAUGGAAUCACAUGGAAUCAGGGAAUGGCGGGAUGGUGGGAUCACGGAGUGACACAGGAUUGCAUGGAAUCACAUGGAAUCACGGGAUCAGGGAAUGGCGGGAUUGCGGGAUCUUGGAGUGACACAGGAUCACAUGGAAUCACAGAAUCAGGGAAAGGCAGAAUGGUGGGAUUGCAGGAUCAUGGAGUGACACAGGAUCACAUGGAAUCACAUGGAAUCACGGGAUCAGGGAAUGGUGGGAUUGCGGGAUCACGGAGUGACACAGGAUCACAUGGAAUCACGGAAUCAGGGAAUGGCGGGAUGAUGGAGUGACACAGGAUCACAUGGAAUCACGGAAUCAGGGAACGGCAGAAUGGCGGGAUCAUGGAGUGACUCAGGAUCACAUGGAAUCACGGAAUCAUGGAAUGGCGGGAUGGUGGGAUCAUGCAGUGACACAGGAUCACACAGAAUCAUGGAAUCAGGGAGUGGCAGAAUGGUGGGAUGGCGAGGUGAUACAGGAUCACACGGAAUCACAUGGAAUCAGGGAAUGGCAGAAUGGUGGGAUUGCGGGAUCAUGGAGUGACACAGGAUCACAUGGAAUCACAGGAUCAGGAAAUGGCAGAAUAGCAGGAUGGCGGGAUUGUGGGAUCAUGCAGUGACACAGGAUCACAUGGAAUCAUGGAAUCAGGGAAUGGCAGAAUGGCGGGAUCUCAGGGUUGGGGGAUCACGGAGUCACACAGAAUCAGGGAAUCACAGAGAAUCAGGGAAUUACAAAAUGGCGGAAUCUCGGUAUUAUGGAAUCACAGAAUCACAGAAUCACACAGAAUCACGGAAUCACAGAAUCACACAGAAUCAGGGAAUCAUGAAAUCACACAAUCACAGAAUCAGGGAAUCACACAAUCACACAGAAUCCUGGAAUCACACAAUCACACAGAAUUGGGGAAUCACACACAAUCAGGGGAUCACACAAUCAUGGAGUCAUGGAAUCACACAAUCACAGAAUCACACAGAAAUCAGGAAAUCAUACAGAAUCAGGGAAUCCCACAAUCACGGAAUUAUACAAUCAUGGAAUCAUAGAAUUAGGGAAUUAUGCAAUCAUGGAAUCACACAGGAUCGGGGAAUCACACAAUCACGGAAUCACAGAAUCACACAGAAUCAGGGAAUCCCACAAUCAUGGAGUCAUGGAAUCACACACUCACAGAAUCACACAAUCACAGAAUCACACAGAAAUCAGGAAAUCAUACAGAAUCACGGAAUCACACAAUCAUGGAAUCAUGGAAUCUCAGGAUCACAGGAUCAUGGAAUCACACAGAAUCACACAGAGAAUCACAGGAUCACGCAAAUCACAAUCACACAGAAUCACAGGAUCACAGAGGAUCGCACAAUCGCGGAAUCACACAGAAUCAGGGAAUCACAGAGAAUCACACAGAAUCCCAGAAUCACACAAUCACAGAAUCACACAGAAUCAGGAAAUCACACAAUCACGGAGUCAUGGAAUCACACAAUCAUAGGAUCAGGGAAUCAUACAGAAUCAGGGAAUC